AGCGGACGCGGCUGAACUCGCCGCGUCGUGUGCCGCGCGGAGUGAAAACAAACACCAGGCCGCCUUGAUCGUCGCGGGCAGAAACCAAAUUCUGACUCCGAGGGCUUACUUCAGCACAAUCCUCACACUGUUCCCAGGGUUCAGUGCUUUCACGGCACAUGUCCGUUUUAGUGAAGCUGGCACCAGCAGGAAAUGCAUCAGCGACACCCUGGCGGAGCAGAAAUGUCAUGCUGGUUCAUUUUGGACAGGGGGAUUAUGGCUGCUUCUCGCUGUGGUCCAGCUGCCAUUGGAUAGCGCCUUGAUUUGGAUAAAUGUUACCCUCCCCAGCCGAAAUGAUCCCAUAUACCAGAUCCCACCUCAUCCCUCAACAUUCUUUCUCAG